UACGUAGGGUGCGAGCGUUGUCCGGAAUUAUUGGGCGUAAAGAGCUCGUAGGCGGUCUGUCGCGUCGAUCGUGAAAACUUGGGGCUUAACCCUGAGCUUGCGGUCGAUACGGGCAUGACUGGAGUUCGGCAGGGGAGACUGGAAUUCCUGGUGUAGCGGUGAAAUGCGCAGAUAUCAGGAGGAGCACCGGUGGCGAAGGCGGGUCUCUGGGCCGAUACUGACGCUGAGGAGCGAAAGCGUGGGGAGCGAACAGG
rnacentral:rRNA from 1 species